rnacentral:rRNA from 1 species
AUAGCCCUACGGAGGCAGCAGUAGGGAAUCUUCCACAAUGGGCGAAAGCCUGAUGGAGCAACGCCGCGUGGGUGAAGAAGGUCUUCGGAUCGUAAAACCCUGUUGUUAGAGAAGAAAGUGCGUGAGAGUAACUGUUCACGUUUCGACGGUAUCUAACCAGAAAGCCACGGCUAACUACGUGCCAGCAGCCGCGGUAAUACGUAGGUGGCAAGCGUUAUCCGGAUUUAUUGGGCGUAAAGGGAACGCAGGCGGUCUUUUAAGUCUGAUGUGAAAGCCUUCAGCUUAACCGGAGUAGGGCAUUGGAA